rnacentral:rRNA from 1 species
GAUGAACGCUAGCGGCAGGCUUAACACAUGCAAGUCGAGGGGCAGCACGGGUAGCAAUACCUGGUGGCGACCGGCGCAAGGGUGCGUAACGCGUGAGCAACAUGCCCUAUACAGGGGGAUAAUCCAGGGAAACUUGGUCUAAUAUCCCAUAGUAUUUAGAGGAGGCAUCUUCUAUAAAUUAAAGCUUCGGUGGUAUAGGAUUGGCUCGCGUGACAUUAGCUAGAUGGUGAGGUAACGGCUCACCAUGGCAAUGAUGUCUAGGGGUUCUGAGAGGAAGGCCCCCCACACUGGGACUGAGACACGGCCCAGACUCCUACGGGAGGCAGCAGUGAGGAAUAUUGGACAAUGGAUGGAAAUCUGAUCCAGCCAUGCCGCGUGCAGGAAGACAGCCCUAUGGGUUGUAAACUGCUUUUAUAUGGGGAGCAAUAAGGUUUACGCGUAGACCGAUGAGAGUACCAUAUGAAUAAGCAUCGG